ACAGCUUCGAGUCUUCGACUUCGAUAGACAAUUUUAGACAGCGUUGUUGCUGUGAUAGACUCUGUGUAACACGUGUACAUCUAAUAAAGAGGCUUAACAGAAUGGAUUCACAUGAAAUCCCAGGUCCAAUGCUGCAGCAGUGUAAUACAAUUGACGCAUAUGAUGAUUCUAUCCAUACAGAAAACAGAUUGUCUAACGUAUAUGUAACACGAGACGAAUUUCUGCAUCAGCUUGCUCAGCUGCGGGAAGA